rnacentral:rRNA from 1 species
CAGUCGCCGCGGGAAAACGUAGGUGGCAAGCGUUGUCCGGAAUUAUUGGGCGUAAAGGGCUCGCAGGCGGUUUCUUAAGUCUGAUGUGAAAGCCCCCGGCUCAACCGGGGAGGGUCAUUGGAAACUGGAAACUUGAGUGCAGAAGAGGAGAGUGGAAUUCCACGUGUAGCGGUGAAAUGCGUAGAGAUGUGGAGGAACACCAGUGGCGAAGGCGACUCUCUGGUCUGUAACUGACGCUGAGGAGCGAAAGCGUGGGGAGCGAACAGGAUUAGAUACCCCGGUAGUCCCUGUCUCUUAUACA